GGUAAAAGGUAUAAAAAAGCUCAAUGAGAAUUUUAAAUAGCCGCAGUAUUUUGACUGUGCUAAGGUAGCUUAAUAAUUUGCCUUUUUAUUGAAGGCCUGUAUGAAGGAGGGGACGACACUAAAGCUAUCCUAGAAUUUUUAGUAGAAUUUGAUAUUUGCUUUAAAAAGAGCAACUCUCUAAGGGGACGAUAAGACCCCGUGAAACUUUAUUUAAAAGUUUUAGAAUAUAUUUUGAAGGAGAUUCUGGAGUGAUGUAAAUUUAGCUGGGGCGGUUGUUAAGAUAACUUUAAUAAAUAUAACGCCUUGUGCGAGGGGAGAGAUCUUUGAAAAAAAAUUUAGUAACAAGUUACUCCGGGGAUAACAGCACAAUUUUUCCGGACAGGCCUUAUGGAAGGAAAAGAUUGUGACCUCGAUGUUGAAUUGAAGAGCCGUCUUUAAGUAGAAAUAAGGAAUGGGGGUCUGUUCGACCUUUAAUACUUC
rnacentral:rRNA from 1 species